AUUAUCUGUGGUUUUGCUUUCUGUGGUUUCAGUUACCCACGGUCCACUGUGGUCCACCUCAGUCCGGAAGCAGAUGAUCCUCCUCUUCACAAAUCAUCGGAGGGUCACUAGUGGCCUAACACUACCUCACAACACCUAUGUCAUUCAUCUCAAUUCAUCUCAUCACAUGGGCAUUUUGUCAUCUUACAUCAUCACAGGAAGAGUAAAACGAAACAAGUUCCCGAAGAUAUAUAUUUAUACAACGCUGUAUGACUAACAUCAUUUGGCUUCCUGAAGUUGGACAGUAAAAAAGCAGGAUAUGAAGAGGUGAAGACUGCAAGGAGAAAUCCCAUGGAGGCAACGGAGUUUUGGUGGUCAUCAGGAAGAGCAUUGAAAUCAGCCUGCCAUUGAGAUACAAAAUCUUGCUUGUGAUCUGGACGCCAUAGAAACUGCUGGAAAUUUGUUCUGUAAGGCAUUAAGAGAGUGAGAUGGAGCUUACACAACAUGCCUGUAGACUACAAAAUUCUGACUUUGGAAAUUUUACUUACCUAACCUCGUAUAACACUUAAUAGCCGUUCAAAGCAUGACUCAGAAACUCGGAGUAAAGAAGAGGAUACAAUGUGAUUGAAUGUGUAGUCUCAAAAAUUCACCUUGGCUUUUUGAUGAAGAUACAUAUCACCAGCUAUGAAAGGCCUUCUGGAUAGUGCAAAUAAAGUUCUAGGGCCUCUCUGUUGUAGCCCGUGAGAGCUUCCUCCAGAAGCUUUGCUUGGUUUAACGUCAUUGGAAAACCAUCCAAGACCCAGCCUUGAUCCACAGUAUUCGUUUCAUAUCCAUCCAAUAUCUGACAAAAAAAAAAUGUUUGCUCAGAAUAUAAGCUGACAGAUUUGAUGAGUGCUAUAGAAGACUUGCCUGGCUUACUGACAGAAUUUCUGAUACAACAACAUUCUGAGAUACCUGAUUACUAGUUUCAAGACUCUGAUGCCUAGAGUGGGCAAUACUAGGUUCACCUAACCAUGUACCUCUGACUGGCAGAUAACAAAAACUAAAUUAUCCUGACCGUCUUGGUUCCAGCUCUAAGAAUUCAAGCCCUGGCACCAGCUCUCCUGGCUGACCUCUGGUCUGGAUCUCUCCUGUCUCCUACCAGAAGGGAUCUGACAUUAGGGAAGCACAUUUACUACUGUGACAACGCGGAAAGUCAAGUGGCCAUAUUCCAGGUAUUGUGCUUGGGAAAUCUAGCACUCAGAAAAAAGCCAUACUCCACAGAGAAGAACUAGGAUAAAACUUGGUAGCUUUCAGAAGCUGUGUUCUUUGUCUCCCUUUCCUGAGCCCUCUUGUCUUCCAAUCACCCCUAAAUCUUGAAGGAAUCUGGAAGAACUGCCAAGAUCUGCAAUUUAGAUUUAAAAAUUCCUGACAACUGGCCAGAAUUCUCAUGAGAAACAGAAAGGGUAAUUGGAUGAAUUGUCUGAUAGGGAGUUCAGCUCAUGUAACCUGGUAGCCCUAGAGUGUUUCUUGGCCACUGUAUGGUACUUGUUUGAUAGCCAGGGGCCAAUGGAAAGGACUGAUACUGCCUUAUACUGCCUUUGACAAGGAGGAAGAGAGGACAUAGCAGUUGGCUGAUGUGCAUCUCAAUUCUGACUUCUCGUCCAGGAGUUGUCAUGGAAUGGAUUCUAUGUAGGGACCCAGAUUAAAGGUCUCAGGACAAGUUGAAAAGAUGAACUGGCCCUACUGAGUGAGCCUGGCAGCCUUUCUGAGUCACCUGACCUCCAGUCAGGUCUGAGUAUUAAAGGCUUCCUGACCAUACCUUCUGGCCAAACAGUCUGGCCUUCAGAUUCCAGAGAAGCCAGGGAGGUGGGGAUGUGCAGUUCACACUGACAGUGGCAGCGGAGAUGCACCUCCAGAGAGAAGGCAUACCUCCACACCCCUCCGUGCUAGAGUGUUCAGACUGGGCCACACCAUUCUCUACCACCAGGAAAUACAAAUGUGACUCAUGGUAAUGAGGGGAAGGAAGAGGUUAACUCUACUUCCCCUGCCAUGCUGAGCUGAAGACUGUGUUGGUCAGAAGCAGGAUCAGGAAUCAGCAGUGCCUGUCUAUCAGUCUCAUGGUUAAUUCCAAUUCAUCAGGAAAUCUGAACUGGUCUUAAUCAAAUAAUGGUUUUCACUCAGAAAUCUGAUCAUUUCUGUCCCAGCAGUAGCCUUCCCCAAUCCGCCCCGAUCUACUGUUAUGGAAACAGACAUGUUUAAUUCUAACCUUGCCCAAAAGAAGACCUAGGGCAACAGAGGCCAUCAAUCAUGGACUUAUUUUUAGAGGGAAAUUCAAGUUUGUCAAUGUCAACCAUGUAGCAUGUGAUGCUCAUCUCUAUCAAAGCUUAUAGGCCCACACUUGAGGAAACCUCUCACUUCACUCUGCGGCCCACUCACUCUAGCUGGUAACAAAUCCAGAAGUUCAGAAUGCUCAGCACUUGCAAACAGGGGCAGGCUUCUUUUCCUAAAACUUUGAGCCACUUGAUCACUUAUGUAUUAGGCAGCCAGAAUCAUGGGGCUGAUCACUUUGACUUAUAGGUCUGAUUAGUAGGGGUAACUGAGACUAAGCCACUCUGAGAGAUCCUCUGUCCUAAAAACUUACAUUUCAGUAAGUUAUUGAAAUUCAGUGACGAAUUGGAUACAAACAAUAUGCAAGGGCUUCUACUUACUUAGCAUUUUCAUUUCAGACAUGUUCACAGUGAUUCACUGAGGGUACUAGUGGGAGAGUAGCUUAUUUGACCCAAAUGGCAGGUUCUGGGAUGCCUGGGUGGCUCAGUGGUUAAGCAUCUGCCUUCGGCUCAGGGCAUGAUCUUGGAGUCGCAGGAUCGAGUCCCACAUCGGGCUCCCGACAUGGAGCCUGCUUCUCCCUCUGCCUGUGUCUCUGCCUCUCUCUCUCUCUGUCUCUCUCUCAUGAAUGAGUAAAUAAAAUCUUUAAAAAAAGACAGGUUUCUACUCCUGGCUCCAUUCUCUGCUCUGGCAAGCGGCCAAAGACCUUCCAAGGCAUUAAACAUGGCACACUGGGAAUUACAGCAACUGUGUGUCUAGCCCAAUGUUUUCCAAAGCACAAAUACCUGGAGCUAAAACAAGUUGAGACUCUAAAGCUUACAUUUCUCCUGACUCCAAAUGCCCUUGGGACAGCAUCAUACUGGACUUUAUAUCAGAGCCCUUCCUAUGCCAGGGCCACCAAACAGUUCUGGUGUGGUGGCUGUUCUUAUAAAAAAAUAAAAAAAUAAAAAAAUAAAAAAAAGUAAAUUUCAUUCCUUAGUUGCUCAAACCGCAUUCUAUUUAUCAGGGAGGUGGUAGUCUCCCUCAAUAUCACUUCUAUACUAACUUCUGUGGUCUUGCUGCUCAAGUAACUUUUCCAGAAGCUUCUAAAUCUGAAUUCACCUAUCUGCUGCCAUUGUCCAGCUAGGGAUAGUCAGACAGACUUGGUUGAAAUUUCUCUAAUAUCACAAAGUGUGUAGACACUAUGAUUUGGUCUACUUAACACUGAAAAAUUCACGCAGAAUUUUUCCACAGGGAAUACUCUAUCUCAUAGUAAUGACUCCUGCAUUCUAUUUUCUUUGCUUCACUGCUAAGGUUGAUACCUUAAAGAGGUAUAGGCCCCAAAAAAGCUUGGAGGUGACUACCCAAUGUAUGAAAGUAGUGUAUGAUAACACUACUGUAAGUCCAGUGUAUCAAAGAAUAUGACUGACAGGUCUGAGGUACUAGGUAAGAAGAGUGGGGUGGGAGAGUCUCCCAGGUGGUAGGGUUUUGGUUCUCAGCCCAAUAUACCCACCCCACACCAAAACUCACACUUUCUUAGAUCCAUUCAAGUUUCUUGAGAUUAACAAUCCCAUGGGUUCUGGGACGCCUGGGUGGCUCAGCAGUUGAGCUUUUGGUUCAGGGCAUGAUCCUGGAGUCCUGGGAUUGAAUCCUACAUCAGGUUCCCUGUGGGGAGCCUCUUCUCCCUCUGUCUGUG